rnacentral:rRNA from 1 species
GUGCCAGCAGCCGCGGUAAUACGGAGGGUGCAAGCGUUGUCCGGAAUCACUGGGCGUAAAGGGUGCGCAGGCGGGGCAGCAAGUCGGAGGUGAAAGCCCGUGGCUCAACCACGGAAGUGCCUUCGAAACUGUUGCUCUUGAGUCCCGGAGAGGUUGCCGGAAUUCGUGGUGUAGCGGUGAAAUGCGUAGAUAUCACGAGGAACACCAGAGGCGAAAGCGGGCAACUGGACGGGUACUGACGCUCAGGCACGAAAGCGCGGGGAGCAAACAGGAUUAGAUACCCUGGUAGUCCGCGCCGUAAACGAUGAAUGCUCGCCGUUAUCCCGCUUAAGGGAUAGUGGCUAAGCUAACGCGUUAAGCAUUCCGCCUGGGGAGUACGAUCGCAAGGUUGAAACUCAAAGGAAUUGACGGGGGCCCGCACAAGCGGUGGAGCAUGUGGCUCAAUUCGAUGCAACGCGCAGAACCUUACC